rnacentral:rRNA from 1 species
ACCCCUGUGAGAAUGCCCGAACAGGUUUCUGCCCGAGAUCAAGGAGCCGGCAUCAGGCACCCUCCUUUUGGAGCCUACGACGCCUUGCUAAGCCACACCCCCAAGGGAAUGCAGCAGUGAUAAACCUUAAGCAAUAAGCGAAAGCUUGACUUAGUUAUAGUUACUAGGACUGGUUAAUCUCGUGCCAGCCACCGCGGUUAUACGAGAAGUCCAAGCAGAUAGGUAACGGCGUAAAGCGUGGCUAAGGAAAUUACUAAAAAUAAAGCGGAACACCCUCAAUGCUGUUAUACGUAAGCGAGGUUAAAUAAAGACAUCUACGAAAGUGGCUUCAUACCUAUCCCGACCCACGAAAGCUUUGGCACAAACUGGGAUUAGAUACCCCACUAUGCUCAGCCUUAAACAUUGAUGGCAGCCUACAGCAUGCCAUCCGCCCGGGGAGUACGAGCGCAAGCUUAAAACCCAAAGGACUUGGCGGUGCUUCACAUCCAUCUAGAGGAGCCUGUCCUAGAACCGAUGACCCUCGUUCAACCUCACCCCUCCUUGAAUAUUCCUUCA